GUCUGCGCAUGUGCCUGUCUGUUGGUUGGUUACUGGCAUAGCCUAUCCUCUCUUUAAUUCUGCACACACAUCCAGAGGAGAGCAGGCAUUAUCACCAUUAUCACACGUGGGGAAACUGAGGAACAGAGAGACGGAUGUGCCUUGGGUCCUAGGGUAAGUAAGUCGGGAGCCCAGAUGUGAGUCUGAAGUUGAUGAUCUUUGCUUCACAGAUUUCCGGAGCAGUAGGAGCCUUGCUUUGGUUUACUGUAGGGCUUUCUCUUCCCCAGCUGAAAAUACCUUUGUUAUUAUGUUAUGGUGGCCUGUUUGCAUUCCCGGGGCCAUGUCAGCAGAAGGUUCCAGGAGUGAGGGGGCAGCCUUGAAGUUUCUGGGCUGGGAGAAGAGUCCCUCUAGAGCAAGGACCCGAGUGCAUUUUUUGCACAAAUACAAGCUGGGCCAGGCACACCCACAGACGUCCUGGGUUCUCUGUUGCAUUCAGGAAGGCCCAGGAAGCCCUGAAGCUCAUGCUUCAGUAGGACUGGAGCCCCUCGGGUGCAUUCGCUGCUAUCUCCCUCACGGAUAGCUUCUAGGAGCGAAACUCAGAUUUCAAGUUAUUUUGUCAGCAAGGGAACAAGGGGAGAGGGGUUUUCUUGCUUUAUCCCCUUCAUGCCAUGGCCACAUGGUUGUAAGAGCCAAGAGUCCACUCUGCCAUCAUGGAGGCUGCUUGGUCCUGCAUUCGGCUUGCUCUGUGCAGUCUGGCAGGAAGUGAACUGGGUUUGGGGUGGGAAGACUUGACUUUGAAAUUGUCACUCCCCUUUACUCACUGGGUGACUCUGAGCCUAGUUUCUUCAACUGGAACAUGUAAUAAUGGAACCUACUUUUCUGCAUUUUUGUGGUUAGAAUGAAUUGUGGAUGUGAAAGCUUCCAGAACUAGCUGCUCCCUGACCUUCUCAGCCAAGAGGCCCCCAAAUCUCUGAGACUCAAGACAGCGCUCCAGAUGCCCUGACUCUUGCUGGAUGCAGAACGGAUGAGCAGGAUCUAGACACCCUACACAGGGGUUUCUUAGAUGGUCCACAGGAAAAGGCUCUGCUGACAACGGGCCAGGUGAUGCCGGUUAACUUAAAGUGCCCCACUGUGUUGUUCCCCAUCUUACGAAUCAGUUGAUCCUCUGAUCAUUCAGAGGGCAUUCACUUAGUGCUUACUGGGUGUACCACUGCACACUCAUCAACCUAGGUGGCUGGCUUCACCAGGACUCUGGGGGACAUCUGACCAAUGGUCCUUAGUGUCAUGAGGAGAGGAAAAGGCAGGUCAUCCCGAGGAUGAAGGGAGCCUCAUUACUUUUUAAGGAGAGGGAAGUAGUAGAGGGAAGCUGGCUGGUUGUCCCUUCCCCUCUCUUCCAAAGGCCCUAUCAAGGUGUUGGAGCCUCUGUCAGUUUUCUGUGGCUGCUGUAACAGAUGAUCACACACCGGGGACUUGAAACAACAGAAGUAGAGCUUCUUACAGUUCUGGAGGCUGGAGUUUGCAAUCAUGGCGCCCGUAGGGCGAUGCUCGCUCUGAAGUCUUCGGGGACCGGCCUUCCCUGCUUCAUCCUGCCUCCUGGUAGAGGUAGAUGCUGGCUGUCUUUGGGACUUUUCUCCGUGUUAUGGAUUGAAAGUCUGUGUUCCUUUCAAGUUCAUAUAUUGAAGCCCUAACUCUCAAUGUGACUAUAUUUGAAAAUAGGGCCUUUAAGGAGAUAAUGAGAGUGAAACAAAGUCAGGCUAUAUUACCUUAUAAGAUGAUGCACGGAGAGUCACCCUCCCCCAAGUGCAUGAAGAAGGUCAUGUGGACACAAAGCAAGGUGGGAUUCUGCAAUCCAGGAGGAGGGUCCCCACCAGAAACGGAAUCAGCUGGCACCUUAGUCUUGAACUUCCCAGUCUCCAGAACUGUGAGGAGAUGGAUGUUGUUGAAGCCGCCCAGUCUGGGCCACUUGGCUUCUGGCAGCCUCAGCCUUCUCUCUGCUUCUGCAUGCCUCUGAGUCCCUGUACCUCUCUCUUCCCCGCAUACAUCAGUCACUGGGUAAGAACCACCUUUUGACCUUGUCUUAACUGGAUUCCAUCUGCAAAACCUCAUUUCCAAAUAAGGGCAUAGGCACAGGUACCUGGGGCUAAGAGUUCAGCAUAUCUUUUUGGGAGACACAAUUUAACCUAGAGCAGAGCCCAAGGCACAAAGAAUUCCCCCAGUUUCUCUUCCUAAUCAGAAUGGUUUGGAGAAGGCUGUGUUGCUUCUGUGUACAGAUGGGUUCUCAGUCCCAUAUGGGCCUGGACAGGCCUUCCCCCUCAGUAUCCCUGUGGAUCCUGCAACGGCAUUCACUCAUGUCCUCAAAAAUUACUCAUUGGGCACCAGCUCUGAGCCUAGGGCUGUGUCCGGCUCUGGAAUGGAAAGGGUAAAGGGCCUUUUUCUUCACAGAGUUGACGGCCUGCCGUAAAGGUGAGAGGCAGACCGGGAGGACAGUUGGUCCAACAUCACUACUUCUCAGGAAGAGCCAAGCUGGGUGCCGGGAAGGAGAAAUCUCAGCUUCUUUCCAGAGAGGGCCCUUCCCCGAGCUGCUGCACGGGAGCAGCCAUCAUGGGCAGGGGGAAGAAAGGUGUCCCUUGGAGCAGGUCUGCCUUGCAGAGGGGACGAGCCUGGCUCUGCAAAGAGCAAGCCAGGAGGCCAGGAGGAGGGAGCGUGGGGAGGGAGAAGGGAGCUGCUCAUGGUCCCAGAGGAGGGCAGGGCCAGUCACAGGAAGGAGUCCACUUUUUUUUUUUUUUUAAGUUUAUAUUUUUUGUGCCACACUGAGAGGUAUUGAUGAGACUUGAUGGUUGAGUCAGGAGUGGAAAGUUACAAUAAACAUUGGCAAGGAUGUGGGGAAAGGGUCUACUCCUACGUUGCUGGUGUGGUGGGACUGCAAAUUGGUGCAACCACUCUGGAAAGCAGUAUGGAGAUUCCUCAGAAAACUAGCAGUUAAACCACCAUUUGACCCACUCCCUGGUUUAUACCCAAAGGACUUAAGAUCAGCCUACUACAGUGACGCAGCCACAUCAAUGUUUAUAGCAGCUCAAUUCACAAUAGCUAAGCUAUGGAACCAACCUAGGUGCCUUCAACGGAUGAAUGGAUCAAGAAAAUGUGACACAUAGACGCAUUGGAAUAGUACUUAGCCAUAAAGAAGAAUGACUUUAUGACUUUUGCCAAUAAAUGGAUGGAGCUGGAGACUACCAUGCUAAGUGAAAUAUUCUAAUCCCCCAAAACCAAAGGCGGAACGUUCUCUCUGAUUCAUGGAUGCUAACACAUAACAUGGGGAAGGGUGGGGAGGAGAAAAAUAAAGUUCAUUGGAUUAGAC
rnacentral:lncRNA from 1 species